GGCUGCUUUGUGUGCGUGUCUUUUUGGCAUUUAUGGAGCUUAGUUGUUUUUUGUGUUUGUAUGUUCUAAGAUUUUGUUUUUUUUGAUGGUCAAAUAGUGUGUGUGCUGAGCGUGGUUGGCAGGAGGAGGUGGGGAGCAGCUCAGGACUGGUAGGUUUGGUUUCUCGGGGUGUGCGGCAGCCUUCCUGUGCAAUGCGACUGAUUGUUGGCCAGAACGUUCCAGCUUGUGUGUCUUAGGCAAUGUAGCUUGUGUAGUUUGUGUUGUGUGGCCCGGGCAGAGUUUGCUGUGCUGCUGUGAGCGAAGAAUCUGAGUUAGAGCUGGUGAGCAGCUGAAGUACCGGAGCUGGGAAGAGAGAGGUCUUGCAGCAGGUACGCUGUGGCUGUGAGGUGCCUCAGAGUGUGCGUUUCUCUUGUCUUUACAGGUGCUUGGUUCAGUUGUGGAGAGGGAAGGGAAAUCCUCAUGUCACGAAGCUCUGAGGGAAGGUGGCGUGGGUGAAGCUGGCCACUCCUUUCAGGCUUGAACCUAAUUUGCAGGUCCAGAGGUUGAAAUGCAGUGUGCAGUUCGCAGUGCAGGACCUCUCGACCCGAGCUGCCUCUGCAGUGACUCUGGUGCGUGAUGAGCAGAGGUGGUGUGGAUGAUACUGGCUGCACUGUUGGAGCUUGGUUUCGGAGAGGAAGAGUGAAUGCUGGUACUCUGUUUUUUGCAGCUGAUGAUGAGCCUUCAAUUGACUAAGCUGACAAUCGGUGCCUGUGCAUUUCUUGAGUAGAGUGUAAACCCUAGGAGGAGCCUGUCACAGGAAAAAGCUCCUCCUGGAACUGUUCAGCACUCAGUAGGCAACUUGAUGACUGGCCUGAUCUACUUCUGAGGUGCUGAGGCAAGGGGGCUGCUGUUUUGAAACGAUAAU
rnacentral:lncRNA from 1 species